rnacentral:tRNA from 1 species
GCAAACGUAGUCAAGCGGCAACGACGCCAGCCUCGAGAGCUGGUGAGCCUCGGCUCCCAGGGGUUCGAGUCCCCUCGUUUGCG